GAUGAACGCUGGCGGCGUGCCUAAUACAUGCAAGUCGAGCGAACAGACGAGGAGCUUGCUCCUCUGACGUUAGCGGCGGACGGGUGAGUAACACGUGGAUAACCCACCUAUAAGACUGGGAUAACUUCGGGAAACCGGAGCUAAUACCGGAUAAUAUAUUGAACCGCAUGGUUCAAUAGUGAAAGACGGUUUUGCUGUCACUUAUAGAUGGAUCCGCGCCGCAUUAGCUAGUUGGUAAGGUAACGGCUUACCAAGGCAACGAUGCGUAGCCGACCUGAGAGGGUGAUCGGCCACACUGGAACUGAGACACGGUCCAGACUCCUACGGGAGGCAGCAGUAGGGAAUCUUCCGCAAUGGGCGAAAGCCUGACGGAGCAACGCCGCGUGAGUGAUGAAGGUCCUCGGAUCGUAAAACUCUGUUAUUAGGGAAGAACAAAUGUGUAAGUAACUAUGCACGUCUUGACGGUACCUAAUCAGAAAGCCACGGCUAACUACGUG
rnacentral:rRNA from 1 species